UCCCAAAUAGCUGAGUUGGUAGAGCGUUAGACUGAAUAUCUAAAGGUUCCUGGUUCGAUCCCGGGUUUCGACA
rnacentral:tRNA from 1 species